rnacentral:rRNA from 1 species
UACGGGGGGUGCGAGCGUUGUCCGGAAUCACUGGGCGUAAAGGGCGCGUAGGUGGUUUGAUAAGGGUGUGGUGAAAGUCCGGGGCUCAACCCCGGAUCUGCCGUGCCGACUGUCAAACUCGAGGACUGUAGAGGCAGACGGAAUUCCGGGUGUAGCGGUGGAAUGCGUAGAGAUCCGGAGGAAGACCGGUGGCGAAGGCGGUCUGCUGGGCAGUUUCUGACACUGAGGCGCGACAGCGUGGGGAGCAACCAGG